CAUUUUUCUGCCUUCAAAGAGUGCACGGUGUUGGGGAAUUUAGCAACAAAGCAAUGAUAAUGAUCUUAAUACCUGCCGUGGCCUAGGACUAGGUUCUGUGCAAAAGAAGCAGAAAUGGUUGUAGUAAAAUCCAGAGUAGGACCCCCGAGAGUCCCUACAAAAGGAAGAGAGAUUUAUCUUCAGUCCUUUGGAUUUUGUUUUUCGUUUUCUCUUAGCUACUUUUAUUCUGUCUCAGGUCAAGAGAUUUAAUCAGUCAACAGGGCAAAAUUGGGAAACUGUCUAAAAUAUACAGUGUCUUCCUACAGUAUACAUCCAUCAAAAGUCUAGGAAAGAAUGUCCCGGACUGAGGUUAAGGAUUGUGGCAAAGCCUGGCUAGCUACUCACUGAACCCAUUUCCUUCUAGGCAGACAGUUACUUCAUUUCCCUGGCUCCUCUGUGGUCAGUGGCAAGCUUGGAAGCUAUAUAUUGAAGCUUGGAAGUGGAAGCUACAAGUUGGAAGGAGGUUGGAUUCCUGGAAGAGAACUGCCUAUGCAAAAAGAGCAACCAUUCUGGACUUUAGAGCUAUUGGAUUUUUGUGCAGCACUGCUUGGAGUGUUGACUCGCUGCUGGUCUUCGGGUGGUAGGAACGAUUCUUCACUUGCAUACCUGA
rnacentral:lncRNA from 1 species